GGCAUUUGAGGUGGUCAAUUUCGUGGCAGCCACACGCCGAUGGUUUGACAGGGGAGACCCAAGAGAUGCAGGAGAAUGCCACGCCUGCCAGAUGCC
rnacentral:ncRNA from 1 species